AGUGAACGCUGGCGGUAGGCCUAACACAUGCAAGUCGAACGGCAGCACAGUAAGAGCUUGCUCUUACGGGUGGCGAGUGGCGGACGGGUGAGGAAUACAUCGGAAUCUACUUUUUCGUGGGGGAUAACGUAGGGAAACUUACGCUAAUACCGCAUACGAUCUACGGGUGAAAGCAGGGGAUCUUCGGACCUUGCGCGUUUGAAUGAGCCGAUGUCGGAUUAGCUAGUUGGCGGGGUAAAGGCCCACCAAGGCGACGAUGCGUAGCUGGUCUGAGAGGAUGAUCAGCCACACUGGAACUGAGACACGGUCCAGACUCCUACGGGAGGCAGCAGUGGGGAAUAUUGGACAAUGGGCGCAAGCCUGAUCCAGCCAUACCGCGUGGGUGAAGAAGGCCUUCGGGUUGUAAAGCCCUUUUGUUGGGAAAGAAAAGCAGCAGGUUAAUACCCCGCUGUUCUGACGGUACCCAAAGAAUAAGCACCGGCUAACUUCGUG
rnacentral:rRNA from 1 species